GACGAACGCUGGCGGCGUGCUUAACACAUGCCAGUCGAACGGAAAGGCCCUGCUUUUGUGGGGUGCUCGAGUGGCGAACGGGUGAGUAACACGUGAGUAACCUGCCCUUGACUUUGGGAUAACUUCAGGAAACUGGGGCUAAUACCGGAUAGGAGCUCCUGCUGCAUGGUGGGGGUUGGAAAGUUUCGGCGGUUGGGGAUGGACUCGCGGCUUAUCAGCUUGUUGGUGGGGUAGUGGCUUACCAAGGCUUUGACGGGUAGCCGGCCUGAGGGUGACCGGCCACAUUGGGACUGAGAUACGGCCCAGACUCCUACGGGAGGCAGCAGUGGGGAAUAUUGCACAAUGGGCGGAAGCCUGAUGCAGCAACGCCGCGUGCGGGAUGACGGCCUUCGGGUUGUAAACCGCUUUCGCCUGUGACGAAGCGUGAGUGACGGUAAUGGGUAAAGAAGCACCGGCUAACUACGUG
rnacentral:rRNA from 1 species